rnacentral:rRNA from 1 species
GAUGAACGCUGGCGGCGUGCCUAAUACAUGCAAGUCGAGCGAACGGACGAGAAGCUUGCUUUUCUGAUGUUAGCGGCGGACGGGUGAGUAACACGUGGAUAACCUACCUAUAAGACUGGGAUAACUUCGGGAAACCGGAGCUAAUACCGGAUAAUAUUUUGAACCGCAUGGUUCAAAAGUGAAAGACGGUCUUGCUGUCACUUAUAGAUGGAUCCGCGCUGCAUUAGCUAGUUGGUAAGGUAACGGCUUACCAAGGCAACGAUGCAUAGCCGACCUGAGAGGGUGAUCGGCCACACUGGAACUGAGACACGGUCCAGACUCCUACGGGAGGCAGCAGUAGGGAAUCUUCCGCAAUGGGCGAAAGCCUGACGGAGCAACGCCGCGUGAGUGAUGAAGGUCUUCGGAUCGUAAAACUCUGUUAUUAGGGAAGAUCAUAUGUGUAAGUAACUGUGCACAUCUUGACGGUACCUAAUCAGAAAGCCACGGCUAACUACGUG